CCUAGGGGGGGCAGCAGUGGGGAAUAUUGGACAAUGGGGGCAACCCUGAUCCAGCCAUGCCGCGUGUGUGAAGAAGGCCCUCGGGUUGUAAAGCACUUUCAGUGAGGAAGAACGCCUGGUGGUUAAUACCCAUCAGGAAAGACAUCACUCACAGAAGAAGCACCGGCUAACUCCGUGCCAGCAGCCGCGGUAAUACGGAGGGUGCGAGCGUUAAUCGGAAUUACUGGGCGUAAAGCGCGCGUAGGUGGCUUGAUAAGCCGGUUGUGAAAGCCCCGGGCUCAACCUGGGAACGGCAUCCGGAACUGUCAAGCUAGAGUGCAGGAGAGGAAGGUAGAAUUCCCGGUGUAGCGGUGAAAUGCGUAGAGAUCGGGAGGAAUACCAGUGGCGAAGGCGGCCUUCUGGACUGACACUGACACUGAGGUGCGAAAGCGUGGGUAGCAAACAGGAUUAGAUACCCGUGUAGUC
rnacentral:rRNA from 1 species